GUACGUUUAUGUCGAGAAUUAAUUAAAGAACGUGUUGAGAUGGUCUUGCCCGUGGACGUAUGUUGACACAUUGUUGAUCGAAUCACGUAAAUUCUAUAUUCUUGUAUUCUCUUGUUUGUUUUAUUGCUUUGUUAUACUUGUACUUGUUUUCUAUUAUCAUUCUCAAUUGUUUUCAUCUAGAAAAAAUUCUAUUUUUACUGCGCUCGUAUGCUGUGUGAAUUUGAGAUGUGCUCGGUAAUCUCU
rnacentral:lncRNA from 1 species